AUUGAACGCUGGCGGCAGGCCUAACACAUGCAAGUCGAGCGAGCGGCGGACGGGUGAGUAAUGUAUGUGGGCUGCGCGAUAGAGGGGGGGAACUACUGGAAACGGUGGCUAAAACCGCAUACGCUCGGGUAACCCAUAUGGGAUUAGCUAGUAGGUGAGGGAAUGGCUCACCUAGGCGACGAUCCCUAGCUGGUCUGAGAGGAUGAGCAGCCACACUGGAACUGAGACACGGUCCAGACUCCUACGGAGGCAGCAGUGGGGAAUAUUGCACAAUGGGCGCAAGCCUGAUACAGCCAUGCCGCGUGUAUGAAGAAGGCCCUCGGGUUGUAAAGUACUUUCAGUGGGGAGGCGUUACCGACAGAAGAAGCACCGGCUAACUCCGUGCCAGCAGCCGCGGUAAUUC
rnacentral:rRNA from 1 species